UCUCCGUAGGUGAACCUGCGGAGGGAUCAUUACUGAGUGAGGGUCUCCGGGCCCGACCUCCAACCCUUUUGUGAACCACCUCGUUGCUUCGGGGGCGACCCUGCCGCUUCGGCGGUGCGGCGCCCCCGGAGGCCUUCAAACACUGCAUCUUUGCGUCGGAGUUUAAACAAAUUAAACAAAACUUUCAACAACGGAUCUCUUGGUUCGGGCAUCGAUGAAGAACGCAGC
rnacentral:misc_RNA from 1 species